rnacentral:misc_RNA from 1 species
AAAAAUGCUUCUAUUAACUAAUUGAACCGUAUGGGUCAACUAGGUCACAUUGGUUCAUGGAAAAAGAAAUUAUUUUAAUUCAGUUUUCGAUUGUUUCAAUUAUUUACAUCCAAUAAAUCAAAGAACCGAACUGACUGAUUUGUACAAUUUAUGACUUUUUCUUUAUUUUAUGGGCUUUAUGUGAUAUAACGUGUAAUUUAUGGAAUUUAUAGU